rnacentral:rRNA from 1 species
GACGAACGCUGGCGGCGUGCUUAACACAUGCAAGUCGAACGGAACGUCCCUGCUUUUGUGCGGUGGUCGGCGGACGAACGGGUAAGUUACACGUAAGUAACCUGCCACUGACUGUGGGAUAACUUAAGAAAACUUGGGCUCAUACGGCAUAAGAUCUCCUGCUUCUGGGUGGGGGUGGGUAGGUUUCGGCGGUUGGUAAUGGACUCGCGGCCCAUCGGCUUGUUGCUGGGGUAGUGGCUUACCAUGGCUUUGCACGGUAGCACGCCUGGUCGGGUGACCGGCCACAUUGGGACUGAGAUACGGCCCAGACUCCUACGGGAGGCAGCAGUGGGGUAUAGUGCACAAUGGGCGGAAGCCUGGUGCAGCACCGCCGCGUGCGGGAUGACGGCCAGCGGGUUGUAAUCCGCUUCCCUCUGUGACGAAGUGUGAGUGACGGUAAUGGGUAAAGAAGCACCGGCUAACUACGUG